GGAGGUAGUGACAAUAAAUCACAAUGCGGGACUAUCAGUCUUGCAAUUGGAUUGAGAACAAUGUACAACUCUUAUCGAUAAGCCAUUGGAGGGCAAGUCUGGUGCCAGCAGCCGCGGUAAUUCCAGCUCCAAUAGCGUAUAUUAACGUUGUUGCAGUUAAAAAGCUCGUAGUUGAAGUGUGGGUGAUCGCUGUUGUGAGACUUCGGUCUCUCGACAGUAAGUCACCCCCUUCCAGUAUCCAGUAGUGGGUAUUCAGUUACUUACUAUUGUGUGUUGGUCGUUUACUGUGAGAAAAUUAGAGUGUUCAAAGCAGGCGUUUGCUUGAAUAGAUUAGCAUGGAAUAAUAAUUGAAGGCUUUCGUGUUCGAUUUGAUUGGUUUGUUCAUGGAAGCAAGGUUAAAAGGAACAGUUGGGGGUAUUCAUAUUCACUAGUUAGAGGUGAAAUUCUCGGAUUUAUGGAAGAUGAACAAGUGCGAAAGCA
rnacentral:rRNA from 2 species